rnacentral:piRNA from 1 species
UCNCUAUGUCAUAUAGUUCAGGGUGUACUUU